AACAGCACUAAUGUUCAGGUCAAAGUGAACCCUUUUAAGCACACAUGCCAGGAAUCAACCCUUAGGAAGGAUACAAUCAGUAGAGCCAAGUUAAGAUGGGUGGCAGAAGAAGUAAAGAAGUGGGUGAAAGAAAACCAGCAAGUGGGUCCAAAGGAAUUGCAGAAGAACAUCAAAGAUAAAUUCAAGAUAGAUUUACCAUACAUGAGGUUGUUCAAUGGUAAACAACAUGCUAUGGAUUCUAUUUAUGGUAACUGGCAGGAAAGUUUUCAAUUGUUGUAUUCAUUCAAAGGUGAAGUGGAGAGGACAAGCCCAGGUAGUAUUGUAGAUAUUGAUCACCACACCGUGGAGUACACAUUCAGGGGAGUGACAAAGACCAAGGAAUGCUUUAGGAGGGUUUUUGUCUGCUUUGAGGCUUGUCGCCGGGGUUUUUUGGCAGGUUGCAGGCCUUAUUUGGCUAUUGAUGCCACUUUUCUCACAGGGAGGUUUAAAGGACAGUUAGUAGUUGCUUGUGCAGUUGAUGCACACAGUUUUGUAUUUCCAGUUGCCUAUGGUGUGCUGGAGACAGAGUCUGAGGAGAGCUGGACUUGGUUUUUGCAUAAUCUGCGCCGGGCUAUUGCACAUCCCAAUGGGUUGGUCAUUUAUACAGAUGCCUGCAAAGGUUUAGAAGUGGCCGUGGACAAUGUGUUCCCUGGAGUAGAGCAUAGGGAAUGCAUGCGUCACCUUGCUGCAAAUUUCAUGAAGAAAUUCAAAGGAAAGGUGUAUACCGACAAUUUAUGGCCGGCAUUUUUGACUUGCAGUGUGAAGAAGCACAACUACCACUUGAGGCAGUUAUACAUGAAUCCCAAAGUGAAAGAAUACUUGGAAACACACCACUCCAAGUUAUGGGCCAGAAGCCAAUUCAGUGAACUGAGCAAAGUCGACUAUGUGCACAAUAAUCUAGCAGAGUCUUUCAACUCAACGAUCCGGAAA
rnacentral:rRNA from 1 species